rnacentral:rRNA from 1 species
UACGAAGGGGGCUAGCGUUGCUCGGAAUUACUGGGCGUAAAGCGCACGUAGGCGGUCUUUUAAGUCGGAGGUGAAAUCCUGGAGCUCAACUCCAGAACUGCCUUCGAUACUGGAAGACUCGAGUCCGGGAGAGGUGAGUGGAACUGCGAGUGUAGAGGUGAAAUUCGUAGAUAUUCGCAAGAACACCAGUGGCGAAGGCGGCUCACUGGCCCGGUACUGACGCUGAGGUGCGAAAGCGUGGGGAGCAAACAGG